UAGAACGCUGGCGUCCGGCUUAACACGUGCAAGUCGAGGGGCAGCAUAUUUAUAGCAAUAUAAAUGAUGGCGACCGGCGCACGGGUGAGUAACACGUAUCCAACCUGCCGUUUACUCGGGGAUAGCCUUUCGAAAGAAAGAUUAAUACCCGAUGGCAUAUAUUGAUUUCAUGGUCUUUAUAUUAAAGAAUUUCGGUAAACGAUGGGGAUGCGUUCCAUUAGGCAGUUGGCGGGGUAACGGCCCACCAAACCUACGAUGGAUAGGGGUUCUGAGAGGAAGGUCCCCCACAUUGGAACUGAGACACGGUCCAAACUCCUACGGGAGGCAGCAGUGAGGAAUAUUGGUCAAUGGGCGUAGGCCUGAACCAGCCAAGUAGCGUGAAGGAUGACUGCCCUAUGGGUUGUAAACUUCUUUUAUAAGGGAAUAAAGUGGAAUAUGUAUACUCUUUUGUAUGUACCUUAUGAAUAAGGAUCGGCUAACUCCGUGCCAGCAGCCGCGGUAAUACGGAGGAUCCGAGCGUUAUCCGGAUUUAUUGGGUUUAAAGGGAGCGUAGGCGGAUGUUUAAGUCAGUUGUGAAAGUUUAAGGCUCAACCUUGAAAUUGCAGUUGAUACUGGACGUCUUGAGUGCAUUAAAUGUGGGCGGAAUUCGUGGUGUAGCGGUGAAAUGCUUAGAUAUCACGAAGAACUCCAAUUGCGAAGGCAGCUCACAGGACUGUAACUGACGCUGAUGCUCGAAAGUGUGGGUAUCAAACAGGAUUAGAUACCCUGGUAGUCCACACAGUAAACGAUGAAUACUCGCUGUUUGCGAUAUACAGUAAGCGGCCAAGCGAAAGCGUUAAGUAUUCCACCUGGGGAGUACGCCGGCAACGC
rnacentral:rRNA from 1 species